CUCCUCUCAGGAUAGCAUCUGGAGAGUUUCUCGGACUUCACCAGUUUCAGACACGAGAGGGAGAGUCAAGCAGAGGCCUGCCCAUUCCAUUCCUAUCUUGGGCAUUGGCUAGCGAGUGGCAGGCAAUCUGCUACAAGU